UAUAAUUUUUGUGUAUAAUACUGACAUGGUCCUUAUGAUACCCAACCUUGCUUUAGCGGAAAACAGGGUCACUCACCUUGAUAGACUGGGUAUUAGGCAGAGUUGGUCAUUGUGGGGCAUCUUGGGAUUAAGUGGCACUGACCUUAUUCUGCCCAUGACACAGGUGAGGUCACUGGAGGCUCUGGUGAUGGCUCUCAAGGCACUGCACACUGCUUAGUUCAUAAUCUCAAGUACCAAAACCCAAUCUGUAACCCCUUGACCGUGGAUUUCCUACAAGAUGAUGUCACCAAGCUACAGGAAUGGAGCGAAAAAGUGGCUGCUACAAUUCAAUGAAGAAAAAUGUGAAGUCAUGCACCUUGGGAGGGGAUAUCCAGCUUACCAAUACCACAUGGGAAACACUCCACUAUCCACCACAGAGGCAGAGAAUGACCUGGGACUCUAUGUUACCAGGCUACCAGUGAAAGCGAAAUCCGUGUCAAUCGCAGUGGACGGGUUAACCAUCUAUAACCAGUCAACGAAACAAGACAAAGAGAUCUGAAUUACCAAGAUGAAUUCAGAACCUCUCCCAAUACCAGUAACCAAUCCUUAACCAUCUAUAACCAGUCAAUGAAACAAGACAAAGAGAUCUGAAUUACCAAGAUGAAUUCAGAACCUCCCCAAUACCAGUAACCAAUCCUUAACCAUCUAUAACCAGUCAAUGAAACAAGACAAAGAGAUCUGAAUUACCAAGAUGAAUUCAGAACCUCUCCCAAUACCAGUAACCAAUCCUUAACCAUCUAUAACCAGUGAAUGAAACAGAGUAGGUGAGCUUUUUAUAAGAAAUUUACUGUCCUUUUGUUAACUAGUCAUGCUAAUACACAACUCUUGAGAGAUAAUUUAGCAUAUUAUAAAAAUCUGAUUUCCUGGCACACAUAACAUUACACUUCCCAUCAGAUGUUGAGCAACGGUUGAAGACGCGAUACAUGCACUAUAGACAGACUCAGUUAUGAAAUCUAGUUGGGUGGGGCGUGGUCGAGAAGUCCCCUGGCUACAGCGCUGCCUAACCUAGCCCUCAGAGUAAGGUCCAUAAUCUAAACGUAUCGGUCUCCCCUUAAGACUAUUUCCCAAAGCCACAGAGAAGAUUAAUCAGGUCUUCAUGGGUAAGUUUUCCGUUCAGGGUGCAGAAGUUGGGUUAAACUAUCACCAGAAUCGUCAAACAGUCCGUGAAAACUCUGGCAAUUUCCUGAACUUCUAAAGACCCAAACUUCUAGAAACCACGAUCAGAAUUCCAAUUACUGAAAGACUUACGCCAAUCCAUGAACUUCUAAAGACCCAGACUUCUAGAAACCGCGAUCAGAAUUCCGAUUGCUGAAAGACUUAUGCCAAUCCAUGAACUUCUAAAGACCCAGACUUCUAGAAACCGCGAUCAGAAUUCCAAUUGCUGAAAGACUUAUGCCAAUCCACGAACUUCUAAAGACCCAGACUUCUAGAAACCGCGAUCAGAAUUCCGAUUGCUGAAAGACUUAUGCCAAUCCAUGAACUUCUAAAGACCCAGACUUCUAGAAACCGCGAUCAGAAUUCCAAUUGCUGAAAGACUUACGCCAAUCCAUGAACUUCUAAAGACCCAGACUUCUAGAAACCAUGAUCAGAAUUCCAAUUACUGAAAGACUUAUGCCAAUCCAUGAACUUCUAAAGACCCAGACUUCUAGAAACCACGAUCAGAAUUCCAAUUACUGAAAGACUUAUGCCAAUCCAUGAACUUCUAAAGACCCAGACUUCUAGAAACCACGAUCAGAAUUCCAAUUGCUGAAAGACUUAUGCCAAUCCAUGAACUUCUAAAGACCUAAACUUUCAGAAACCACGAUUAUCAUACCAAUUCCACGAGAGGGUCUUCAUACAAGCAAAAUGAGGUGCCGAGAUGUUUAAGAAUACGGAAAUAGCUGUCAUUGAGCGUGGAGGUUAGGUUAGGAAGUGAUAUGCUGUCCUUGAUCGCUCACCUCAGAAAGCAUUUUUUUUUUUUUACAAAGGAGACAACUCAAGGGCACAAAAAAGCCCACUACUCGCUGCUCCUAAAAAGAAUCAAAAGAGGUGGCCGAAAGAGGGGUCAAUUAAUGUCACGUGUUAUGGAAUUUAUACAAGUCGUUGCUAUAUUAUUCUAAGAAGCGAUACAUUCAAACCCCUGUAUACCCUUAUUUAAUGUAUACAGAAUAAAUACACGAUAUCAAAUAGUAAAUAACUGACAUAUGAGAGGGUUGUACAUAGGGUGACGUGGCAACGCUGUGAGGAGACUCGAACCACACCCAAAUCAUCAUCAUCAUCAAAUAUCAAAUAGCUAACAUACGAGAGGGUUGUACAAAGUGAUGUGGCAACGCUGUGAGGAGACGCAAACCACACCCAAAUGGACUUCAUAUCUGCGUCUGACUAAGGUCCAUCUUCUUAAACAUAUCAAGCACCCAUUACGGCAAGUUUCCAAGGCCACAGAGAAGAGUAACAGUGAAAGGGUUGAAGGUGAGGGAGGUUACGUAAGGGAUGGUUUCAGACGGUGAUGGGGAGGAGUGGUAUAUGAAGGGAGGGGUUAGAGACGAGGUACGGUAUGAAGGGAGGCUUGCGUCGAUCUUAGUUUUGGCGGGUUUUCGUGGGUGAGUUUCCUGAUUCAUGGCGCAGAGGUCAUGUAAAACUAUCACCAGCGUCACGAAAGUCCAUGAAAACACCAGGAACAUCCACGUGAGGCUAUUCAAACAGGGGACGUGAGGUACCGAUAAGAUU